CCCAGGAGGCAGAGGUUGCAGUAAGCCAAGAUUGUGCCACUGCACUCCAGCCUGGCAACAGAGUGAGACUCUAUCUCAAAAAAAAAAAAAAGAAAAGAAAAAGAAAGAAAGAAAGAAAGAAAGGGAUAAAGUUGUGUUCUUUAUUAAGAAAAAAAUAAUUUUGUCUAAUUUGGAGGUUAAUUAAACAUUGUUUCAAAAUAUAGAACAGAUAGGAAAGAACCAGUAAGUAGGAGAGUGAUAUGUGAAGAAAGUAUAGAUAUGAAAACGUAUUUUUAGUAAGAAAGGUUAAAAAGAAAAGAUAAUAAUGUUAUAUGAGAAAAAACUUUAUAUGGUAAAUUUGUGUCCUGAGGUAAAAUUUAAGAGUGCAAAAGUAUAGGAUAAAGCAGAACUUUCAAGCAUAUUGUCAAUUGUACAUAUUGUCAGAGUAUGUUGUGAUAAGGUUUGUGAAAAGAAAAUUUAUGAAAGGAAAUUUGCAUGUGAUCAAGUUGGCUAUAAUUAAAAGGAAAUUACUUAUAAGUCUUUCUAAACAUUGAGCUUUGAUAUUAAAUUAUACUAAUACAAAACUAAAAUUUUGGUUCCCUAUGUUAGAAUAACAAGUUUUUCAUCAAGUAUCAAUUUGCUUUUAGUAAAAUUCAGAGGUUCUGAAUUUUUAAUUCUGAAAUCUGUAUCUUUUUAAAACUUCUCAGACUUAUAUCUCGGAAGUUCAACUUUUACUGUACCUUGCUGCAUGUGAUUUGCAGGUCACAUGUCAUUGCCUUCUGUUUUUUUAUCCCCGGGAAAGGUACAUCUUUUUGCUUGGCUGGGAUGGUAACUCUCUCCUUCAAUGUUUUUAUCAAUUCCUAUAACUUUUGUUCUGGUUCUAACACUGAUGUUGUGGCCUGACACCGAAAUGUUUUAUCUUGAAGGUGUAGAAAAGCAAGUUUUCCUUCAGUAUAACUUGAUUCUGUACUCUUGGGUUUUCUUUAUAGGUCUGCAUUGUUCAGUAUAACCAGGAAACAUCCAUAUUGUUACUAAGAGUCCCUACUUUGUGUCCCUACACAAGAUACCAGGUCUCCCUAUGUUGCCCAGUCUGGUCUUGAACUUCUGGCCUCAAGCAAUCAUUCUGCCUUGACCUCUCAAUGUGCUGGGACUACAGAUAUUUGCAUGAGGAGGUGCUGUGAAUAUUAAACAGGAAUCCAGCUGGUGUUUCUACUGGUGGAUCUCUACUUAAGGAG